UUAAAACAGCAGAAGACUUGCCUUGUGGGCAGUUUUUAUUUUCGAGUUAAAAAAGUUAUUCUGAAGCAUUUUGGCUCUUUUAUCAUCAUGAGACCCUGCAAAAAUAAAAUAAAUUUUAUGUAAAUAUAACAUUUCCAUAGUAUUAUAUUAAGAUUUUUUUUUUAUUAUUAUUUAUUUGUUAUAAAUAUUGGGAUAGUUAAUUGGGAUAGUCUAAGAUCCAGUGAAUGUUUCUCAGGGUGGCUUGGUAGCAAAAAGCUAUUGAAAAUUUAACCCACAAAAAAUAAAAAUCCACACACGUUUCGCUUACCAUCACCUUAAAUCAGUUUGAUAAAAGUGUGAGAAAAUAUAUUUUUUAAGUCAUAUAUUGUAAUAUUUAAAAAUAUAGGAGUGAAGAUAUGCAAGUUUAUUUGGAAACAGCUCCGCUCUGUGGUUAUUACAGUAACUGCGGUUCAAGCCACUGUGAAGUCAACAGCAUACUAAAACAAGACUUAUUUACUCAUGCAAAUGCUAAUGUUAGAACACAAACAACUGGAACAAUAAAUAAACAUCAGCAGACUUUUGAUGAUAUCUAUUAACAGAAUUAGCAAACCUUUACAGUUGUGACGUGUCUCUUCAAUUAAACAAAAUGACUAAAAGCCCUAAUUACAAAACUUCAAUAGAGACUCAUUUGCAGGAUUCCUUAAUAAUCUGGUUCUGAUUCUUCACCAGUGUGGAUAACAUUGACAUGAAGUUGGGCUUCUGUACGGCAGGUUUUGUAACACCAGACGCAGACACUUUCUUCUGGUUCCCUCGUUUAAUCUUGGGCUUCACGCUGAACAGAUCUGUGGGUGUCCUGAACCCAUCCAAAUCCUCAGAAAUCUCUUCCUGCUGCUCAUUCUGGAAACCGUUCUGAGCUUGACGAAUCUCUCCACGUUUGUGCUUCUGCCGAGGGCUUUUCCUCUGUUCCGCUGUUUCCACAGCAACAGUUUUAGUGGUGUCAUCAAACUUCAGCACCCGCCGCGUUCCAUCUAUGCCAUCAGACACUUCCUGCUUGUUCGAUUUACCCCGGACAUAAGUCGUCCUCUGUUUGCUAGAGACCUCUGAGUUCUGCUUCAAAUCUGCAUUUAAUCUUGAAAUCUUGUCAUCUACAAGAAGUUUGUCCUUCUGCUUCACACUAAGGUCGAGUGGAUAAAGCUGCUGAGAUAAUGUGCUGUUCAAGGAAGGCUUCCUUUUCACAGAAGACUGCCAGCCAGCGAUGGGCGGCCAGACCACAGAUCGUGACCUCUUACGAUGCCGUGGUUUGGCUUUGUUAAUGGACAGGUUGGUCUGAAUGGAGAGCAGAUCCUUGCAGCGACGCAAAUUUCUAAAUAUAUCUCUGCUGAAACACAUGAGGUCUGGAGCAGUUUGCUUGAGCUGUGUUGAUGACUGA
ensembl:lncRNA